rnacentral:rRNA from 1 species
UACGUAGGUGGCGAGCGUUAUCCGGAAUGAUUGGGCGUAAAGGGUGCGCAGGCGGUCCUGCAAGUCUGGAGUGAAACGUAUGAGCUCAACUCAUGCAUGGCUCUGGAAACUGGAGGACUGGAGAGCAGGAGAGGGCGGUGGAACUCCAUGUGUAGCGGUAAAAUGCUUAGAUAUCAUGAAGAACUCCGAUCGCGAAGGCAAGUGUCCGGGGUGCAACUGACGCUGAGGCUCGAAAGUGCGGGUAUCAAACAGG